rnacentral:rRNA from 1 species
GACGAACGCUGGCGGCGUGCUUAACACAUGCAAGUCGAACGGUAAGGCCCUUCGGGGUACACGAGUGGCGAACGGGUGAGUAACACGUGGGUGAUCUGCCCUGCACUUCGGGAUAAGCCUGGGAAACUGGGCCUAAUACCGGAUAGGACCACUGCCUGCAUGGGUGGUGGUGGAAAGCUUUUGCGGUGUGGGAUGGGCCCGCGGCCUAUCAGCUUGUUGGUGGGGUGAUGGCCUACCAAGGCGACGACGGGUAGCCGGCCUGAGAGGGUGACCGGCCACACUGGGACUGAGAUACGGCCCAGACUCCUACGGGAGGCAGCAGUGGGGAAUAUUGCACAAUGGGCGCAAGCCUGAUGCAGCGACGCCGCGUGAGGGAUGACGGCCUUCGGGUUGUAAACCUCUUUCAGCACCGACGAAGCGCAAGUGACGGUAGGUGCAGAAGAAGGACCGGUCAACUACGUGCCAGCCGCCGCGGUAA